rnacentral:tRNA from 2 species
GCCGGAGUGGCGGAAUGGCAGACGCAGCGGUCUCAAAAACCGCCGAGGGCAACCUCAUGUCGGUUCGACUCCGACCUCCGGCACCA